rnacentral:rRNA from 1 species
GUGAGGAAUAUUGGUCAAUGGGCGGGAGCCUGAACCAGCCAAGUCGCGUGAAGGAAGAAGGAUCUAUGGUUCGUAAACUUCUUUUGCAGGGGAAUAAAGUGCAGGACGUGUCCUGUUUUGUAUGUACCCUGAGAAUAAGGAUCGGCUAACUCCGUGCCAGCAGCCGCGGUAAUACGGAGGAUCCGAGCGUUAUCCGGAUUUAUUGGGUUUAAAGGGUGCGUAGGUGGUUUGAUAAGUCAGCGGUGAAAGUUUGCAGCUUAACUGUAAAAAUGCCGUUGAAACUGUUGGACUUGAGUGUAAAUGAGGUAGGCGGAAUGCGUGGUGUAGCGGUGAAAUGCAUAGAUAUCACGCAGAACUCCGAUUGCGAAGGCAGCUUACUAAGCUACAACUGACACUGAAGCACGAAAGCGUGGGGAUCAAACAGGAUUAGAAACCCGGGUAGUCC